GUUCUCUGCUCUGUGAAUUUGGG
rnacentral:miRNA from 1 species